rnacentral:rRNA from 1 species
GAUGAACGCUGGCGGCGUGCCUAAUACAUGCAAGUCGAGCGAACAGACGAGGAGCUUGCUCCUCUGACGUUAGCGGCGGACGGGUGAGUAACACGUGGAUAACCUACCUAUAAGACUGGGAUAACUUCGGGAAACCGGAGCUAAUACCGGAUAAUAUAUUGAACCGCAUGGUACAAUAGUGAAAGACGGUUUUGCUGUCACUUAUAGAUGGAUCCGCGCCGCAUUAGCUAGUUGGUAAGGUAACGGCUUACCAAGGCAACGAUGCGUAGCCGACCUGAGAGGGUGAUCGGCCACCCGGGAACUGAGACACGGUCCAGACUCCUACGGGAGGCAGCAGUAGGGAAUCUUCCGCAAUGGGGGAGAGCGUGACGGAGCAACGCCGCGGGAGUGAUGAAGGUCUUCGGAUCGGAAAACUCUGUUAUUAGGAAAGAACAAAUGUGUAAGUAACUAUGCACGUCUUGACGGUACCUAAUCAGAAAGCCACGGCUAACUACGUG